AAGAAGAAGAAGAAGAAGAAGAAGAAGAAGAAGAAGAAGAAGAAGAAGAAGAAGAAGAAGAAGAAGAAGAAGAAGAAGAAGAAGAAGAAGAAGAAGAAGAAGAAGAAAGAAAUAGAGACCAAAAACCUUCUCCCUUCCCAAGCCCGACUGUACCCUGGACCAUCCCAAGGAAGGUUUCUGAGUAUCCGCCAAGGACUAAUACCGCUCCCACGUGUCUCCAUGAAGACCUUGUGGAGUGCAAAUGUGCACGAGCGCCCGAGGAUAGUGUGUGCGGUCAGCCCUCGGAGAUAACUGUGGCCCUCACCCCUCAUCAAAGAAGCUUCUUUUAGCAGCAGAUGGAGACUACUACAGAGAUCCACAACUGAUCAAAAUGUGGAGAAAAACUGACCAUGGAGUUCCUCAUCUCCAGUUGAUACAUCUACCCCAUAAUCCCUAUAUCUAAGGCUCUCGGAAGGUGAGGGGCAGUAAUAUUUUAAGAACCAAAGGACUGAGAACUCUUCUGCCAGAUACUGUCUUCUAUAUGUGACAGGGAAGCUGUACGCAUGAAAUCUCAACAAUAUAGUCUCCUAAGCAAGACCUGCAAAUGAUGGCACCAGUUGACAUCCAAGCAUGGAUGGAUGGAGGAAAUCUCAUAAUCUCAUAAGAUUCCACACCUAGAUGAAGAGCUACAGACAAUCUCUCUCUCUCUCUCUCUCUCUCUCUCUCUCUCUCUCUCUCUCUCUCUGUGUGUGUGUGUGUGUGUGUGUGUAGGUGUAUGUGUGUGUGUGAAUUAUAGAAGAACAGGUCAUGAUGUUUGCUUUUAUUUUUAUAUGUUUUUUGAAGACAGAGUUUCAUUAUUACACAUAGCUUUGGUCCAUGGUCCACCUGGAACUCAAUUUGUAGAUCAGACUGGCCUUAAACUCAUAGAGAUCCUCCUGUCUCUGCCUCCCUAGUGCUGGAAUAAAAGGUGUGUACUAUCAUGGGCAGCUUGAGGUAAUGAUUUUGAAAGGCAGGUGGAGGUAUGAGAGGAAUUGGAAGCAGAGAGGAUGAGGUAGUGAAAAUAAUGUAAAUAUAGUACUCACAUAUAAAAUUCUCAAAAAAUAAGUUAAAAACUUUAAAGGAAAAAUGAGUAUGUGCAUGUAGGUGUGUUGUAGCUGUAUGGUCGCUACAUGGGUGUGUGGAUUUACACGGGUCCGUGGAAUGAACAGAGGCAUUUUAAAAAUGAAUCUAGUCUUUCAUGGCUGCAGGGGGGUCCACCCUGGAAGGACUGAAUUCUAUCCUUUCGCCUAGGGCAGUUUUAUUUCUCUCCAACACAGUUUAGCCAGUUAAUUUCCAUAUGCUCAAAACAACCUGAAAGGAGCUCCCAACAAUACAAUGCCAAGUGCAAAUUCCUCGAUUUCUCAGGUACCACAGUUUUCCGGGUUUCCCUGAAUCAAGUUUUGCAUAGGCCUUUGUAUCCUUGGGAAACUCCAAGAGAGGAUUCACAUGGAGGGUAAUAAGGGAAACAAAGGAUGUCUGCUAAACAAAAGAUGGAUUAGGGCUAGGUGCUACUCUCUGGAGCCAGGCUAGGUGCAGCUCAGCAGGAAUGCUGUGACAGUGUGUGUAUAUAUAAACAAUAGGAAAAUGUAAAUCUGAAUACUUGUGAUAAAUCCUUCACCUACAAAACUCUUGGUAAGAUAUUUCUCACCCCCCUCCUCCUUUUCUCCUGCUCUUUAUUGGUGGUUGGUUUUGAGGAAUGUGGCAAAUUAAGGACUACUACAUUACUAUUUAUAUUGUUAACAUGAAAGUACUUUGUAAAAAUCUAGAUUCCGUAAAUUCCCAUCGCCAUUUAACUGUAUCAUUCCAUGACUUUGGGUGAAAAAUGAAAAAAAGGAAGAGAGAAAGAAAGAAAGAAAGAAAGAAAGAAAGAAAGAAAGAAAGAAAGAAAGAAAAGAAAAAAAGAACCAAAGAAAAAGAAAGAUGUCAAUAAGAACUAGUACCGUUGUAUAGCAAUUUCCUACAAAUCAAAACAUCUCCUCCUAGAAGGAGAUAGGAGGGUCAAAAAGCUCAGGAGUUAAGGAAAUUUAUGUGAUUUAGAAACGCAGACAGUAACAAGAAUGAGAUGUACCUGCCCAAAGUUAUAUUAGUAGUAAAUAACUCAGGAUGGGAGACACCUACAGGACCCUGCAACCCAGGGACGCAUCUUUUUGGGGUACUUAGGGUGCUAGGGUGGCAUUUUUGGAGAUAUAGCUGCCUUGGAGUCAUCCAUGCUUCUGUAAUUAAACCCUCUCACAUUCUACUAUGAGCAACAUCAAUAAAUUCAUUAGUUCAGCAAGCUAGACUUGGCUAUAACUAUAUCCUUGGUCUGCUGGGAGAGACUAGAGGAUGCCCUAUCUGAAGUAAAUAGACAUUUAUUCGUGUUUAUCCAAGUAUUCUAGGAAAAGACAUGCAACAUUGUGGAAGGGUGGCUAGAUGUAUGGCUCCUUGGGACAACUGGGAAGCCUAUCAGUUUAGUGAACUCAUGAUUUCUUGCCAUUGUGGAGUUUUGCUUUAUUCUUUUUCAUGGUUGACAAAUGUAUUUUUGGUCCCUAGGUGUUGUGUUUGGAAUUGCAUCUCUUAUAAAAAAUAAGCUGAAAUUGUAUUUUCUGGUACCUUAGAGUGUGACCUUAUUCAGAAAGAGGAUCUUUGAAGAUGUGAUUAUGACAUAAGUUAAGAUGAUGUCACAGUGGUAGAAAAUGGUCCUUUGAUUCAGUUUUACUGGUAUUUCUUACAAGAAGAGAUGACAGAGUGAAGUUCCCCAUGUCCAGUCAGAGGAACACUAGAGAUUGGGGUUAGGUUGCCACAAGUCAAGAUAAUCAGAAAUCAGAGAAACAAGAAUUGACUCCCCUCUUCUAGGGUCUUUAUAGGGACACAACUCUGAUAGCACCUUUAUUUGAGACUUCCAGUCUCCAGAACUGUAAAACAAUGCAUGUCUGCUAGUUUUAACCACCCAGUUUGAGGUACUUUGUAGCACUUGGGAACCAGUACAGCAGGGAGUCAUCACCAACUCUUGGUGAUACCUGUCCAUCAUGUAUAUCCAGUUUACAGCAAAUGUUCAAGGGUAGCAUAUUUAAGAAUGAUAGGCAAACUCCUGAGAGGAUGGCUUAGUUAGUGAAGUACUUAUAGACAUGAGUGUGAAUCCACAGUACCAACAUAAAACAACUGUGUGGCAUACCUGCACCUAUAAUUCCAGAAGCAAGGACAAGGAUUCUUGGUACUUAUUGGCUAGUUAGUCUUGCUGAAUUGGUGAGUUCUAGGUUCACUGAAAAACCCUUUCUCAAAAGUAAAGGAGUUAUAGAGAUGGUUCAGUGGUUAUGUACAUCCCACCACUCAUGUAAUAAGCCUGGGAUCACUGCAAAUCCUGUGACUCUAACUCCAAGGGAGGCUUUCUGGCUUCCAGCCUAGUCAAGAUGAGAACUCCAGGUUCAGGGAGAGAUCCUGCCUAAAUAAUAAUAAUAAGCCAAGAGUGACAGAGGAGGACACCUGAUCAUGAGCACACAGAUUUGCACACAUGUGUGCACAUAUACUUAGACAAACACAUAAACACAUGAAUGAUUGAAUAAAUGAAUGAAUGAAUGAAUGGAUAGACGGAUGGAUGGAUAUUUUAAGACAAAAAAGUAGAGUAAUAGAGGAAUACAGCUGAUGGUAACCCUGGCCUUCACAUGCAAACACAUAUAUGUACACACACUGAGCACAUGUAUACACUACACACAUACACAAAGAAUGAAAGGCAGAGUCAAUUUUGUUCACAAAGAACAACAGCAGGUAAAAUCGUCUAGAACUUGGAAAUAAUCUUGAGAGUUUAUUUACUCUAGUGGUUCCUCCAAAAUAGGACUUGUUAGAAAUUUAGAAUUACAGAAUCUUAGCGUGUUUAAAGGAUUUUGGAGAUUUUUCCCUUCUUUAGAGACACAUGGCGGGAGUUGUGACUUUAAAAACCUCCACAGAUUGUGCAACACCCAAAGUAUGCCCCACUUUGGUAGUCUGAAUGUAAUUGGCCCCCGUCAACUCUAUGGAGUGGCUUUGCUGGAGUAGGUAUGGCCUUGUUGGUGGAGGAAGUGUGUCACUGUGGGGGUGAUCUUUGAGGGUCACUGUGGAGAUGGCCAUACCCAGUGUCUCAGACUACUUCCUAUUGCCUGCAAGUCAAGAUGUAGGACUCUCAGCUCCUUCUCCAGCACCAUGUCUGCCUGUAUGCCACCAUGAUAAUAAUAGACUAAAACUCUGAAAAUGUAAGCCAUUUCACUUAAAUGUUUUUCAUUUAUAAGAGUUUCCAUAGUCAAAUUACAACACCCACUGAUUCAACUCCACCUCUAGUUAGUGGAUUGUGAUAACCUCUUUCCUAAACAAUGGGAGAUAUAAUGGUGAACGGAAGACUAUUCAAGUUGGGAAUUGAUGUUAGUUCAGUCUGGGAAGUCUUCCAGAUUCAUUAAUAUUUUAAUUUGGCACUACUGAAGACCAAAAGCUUCUCAAUACUUAAGGAAAAAGGCUCAGCACAUAGUGUCUCCUCCAUAAAUAUCUGCCAGAUUAGGUGAGAAGCUAAGAUUAGCAAGAACUAGACUAAAGAAUGUGGUAAGCAAAGACUUAGUCUGUUUGUGCUACAAUAACAAAAUAACUAAGACUGAGUCAGUUAUAAGAAAUUGAAUUUAUUUUUCUUAGUUCUAGAAGCUAAGGAGCUUGAAAUCAAAGUGCUGAGAAUAAUGAGGGCUUAUUCCUCAUACAAAAUCUUGUGUGUCUUUCCAUAACGGAAGGUUGAAGGGGGAAAGAACCUAACUAGCUCUCUCCAGCUCCCUUUCCCUUUCUAUUUCCCUUUGAGAUAGGGUCUCUAGAUCAAGUUGGCCUUGAACUCCUUACCAGACAGAGGAUGACUUUGAGCUUCUGAUCCCCAUGCCUGUACCUCCCAAGUGCUGGGAUUGCAGAUGUGUACCACCACUUCUGUUUUUUUGUGGUGCUGGGGAUCAGGCAUCACCCAUGCUAGAUACUCUAUCACCUGAGCAACAAAAUCAGCCUCCUCCAAUCCUUUUAUAGGACACUCCCCAACCACGAUAACAAAAACUCUUCUGGCCUAAUCAUCUCCUAAAUUCUCCUCUCUUAAUACUAUUGCUUUGGGGGUUAGGGAUCAACAAAAAUUUUGGAGGUGACAGCAUCAUUUUAACCAUAGAGGAUGCAUGUGAGGCAGACAAAGAAACAGAAGAAAAGGAAAAUCCAAGACAGACUUGGUCCUAGAGUUUUAUAUAAAAGAAGCCUUCAGAAAGUUGAAGUUCUACCCAAUUUUGAUAGAAACUUGGAACUGUAACAUGGGAGCAAGAGGUGUCAUAGGAGCCUCAUACUUUUUACUUCUCCCAGUCUAGUUAGCAUUUGUGGACACAAUAGGUCUUUCACCCUCUCUUAGGAUCUCCACUAACUCUGGAACCCUCUUCAGCCAUCCUCCUAAAAUAUCUAAGUUAGAUAACAGUGUGAAAUAUGCUAAUGCAACUUGAAGCAUACUUUCCAGUCCUGGCUCCCACCUCUUAACUCCAAUCUCAUGCAGCUCCUACGUCCUAUGCCCUUCUUCCAUAGAAAAUGUUAGAGUUGCCAUUGCUAGCGAGAACUCAUUUUGAAAUGUAUGCCUGGGAUAGACCCCAAUAUAAAUCAGAAAGCAAUAUCUGAAACCCAACCCUUUGUAUAUUACCCAUAAAAGAGAACUGAAUGGUUUUGAAAGGAGUCUGUACCACUUGAAGAUGAAUAGUGUGGCUUUUCAGACAGAAGUGCCAAGAAAACUAGAAAGUGUCAAUUCUCCAAAAGAAGAAAAGCUGGAAAUAAUUCUCUGUAUGUCCAUUGUUCGGUCUUAAUACCUAGACUCUUAAAGACUUUUGAAAUCUUUCAAACAGUCAAAAGCCAUUUGGAACUUGACCAAAUUUACUCUCACAAAAAUGUACAAAAGUAUUCCAGCUAUCGCCCACAAACUGAAUCAAGUGUUAUAGCAGAAUGAAAAUAAAUUUGAUAUUAGUUUGUUUUUCUCAAAAUCAUGCUUGUGGAAAAAUGUUAAAAAUUCAAAACUUGGUGGUCUGCUCAUGGUGUUGUAGGUUGUAUUGUUUGGGAUUGUUUAUUUGUUUGUUUUUCAGACAUUGUCUUUUGUAGUCCAGGCUGGCCUCAAACUUGCUAUGUAGCUAAGGAUGACCUUGAACUUCUGAUCUUCCUGCUUCCACCUCCUAAGGACUAAGAUUACAGGCAUGGACCACUGUGUAUGGAUGUGCUCAGUGCUUUUGAUAUGGUAUCAUUAGUGAAGAGUUCUUCUUUAACAUGCAUAUGAAUUCCACCCAUCAUUAAACCAGCCAAUCAGAAUACCAGUAGGGAAGCUGAAGCUUCCAUCUGUGAAGAUGCUGCCCAGCAAUUGAGUCCCAGGUCAUAAAGCCUUCCCUAGCAUUAGGGUAGUAAUAGCCAAUAUCAGACAAGAAUUCUCCAUCACCCAAGCACAGCAAUUAUUUAGAUAUUGCUGAUUUGCAACUUCAAACCUUACACUAUCAGUUACUUUUCUGUUGCUGUGAUAAAACACCAUGACCAAGGCAGUUUACAUAAGAAAGAGUUUAUUUAGGUUUACUAUUCCAGAGGCAUAAGAUUCCAUCAUAGCAGGGAAGCAUGGCAGCAAGCAGCAGACAUGGUAGCAGGAAGAUGAGCAUUAAUAUCUUCAAAUGCAAGCACUAAGUAGAGAAACUGAACAGGAAUUGAUGUGAGACUAUCAACACCCUUCCCCAAUGAUAAACUUCCUCCAGCAAGGUUUUACCUCCAAAGGGAUCCAGAAUGUCCCCAAGCACCACCACCAACUAGGGACCAAGAAUUCAAACAUCUAAGCCUCUCAGGGACAUUUCUCAUUCAACAUACCUACCAACUUCCAAUGUCCACUAGCUGCAUUCACUGCUUUAUAUUUCUUGGUAGCAUGGAUCUCCAUCAAAUGCCUUUCAUCUUAUUCUUUUUUUUUGUCAUCCAUCUCUCCAUAGCAGAGAGCAGGAAUUUUCAUUUAUUUUGUUUACAAUUUUUACCUGGCACCUAGAAUUAGGUCUUGUACAUUCUAGAUGACUUAAAAAUAUUUGUUGAAAUAUUGGUAUGAAGAUUAAGUUUUAUUACAUUUAUUUAUUUUGCACAUGCAUAUAUAUGUGGGUAUGCACAUGUGCAAGUCAGUGGGAAUUUAUGGGUGUCAGUUCUCUCCAUCUACAAUGUAAUACAGUAAGUUCAUAUGUUACAUUGAAUAGGACCAAAGAAUGUUCAGAUUUCACCCACUUAUUGAUAGGAAAGUCAAUUCAUUUUCUGACUAAUAUUAUCUUACUGAAGCAAAGACUUGAUAAUAAUGAAGAAUAAAAAUUCAUGAUGAA